rnacentral:rRNA from 1 species
GCCAGAUCCAUAUCUCCUUGCUUGGUUUCUCACUGAUGCUAAGCAGGGUUGAGCCUGGCCAGUACCUGGAAGGGAGACCUGCAUGGGAAAACUAAGCUUGCUGCUU